CCCCCCUCAAGAUCACACCUGGAGAGUUUCCAGUACUCUACCAGUCUCAGCCAAGGGAGGGAGAGUCAAACAGAGGGGUACCCAUUCCAUUCCUAGCUUAGGCAGUGGCUAGCCAGUGGAAGACAAACUGUUGCAUGU